GACGAACGCUGGCGGCGUGCUUAACACGUGCAAGUCGAACGGAAAGGCCCCUUCGGGGGUACUCGAGCGGCGAACGGGUGAGUAACACGUGAGUAACCUGCCCUUGACUUCGGGAUAACUUCAGGAAACUGGGGCUAAUACCGGAUAGGAAUCCUUGCUGCAUGGUGGGGGUUGGAAAGCUUCGGCGGUUUUGGAUGGACUCGCGGCUUAUCAGCUUGUUGGUGGGGUAGUGGCUUACCAAGGCUUUGACGGGUAGCCGGCCUGAGAGGGCGACCGGCCACAUUGGGACUGAGAUACGGCCCAGACUCCUACGGGAGGCAGCAGUGGGGAAUAUUGCACAAUGGGCGGAAGCCUGAUGCAGCAACGCCGCGUGCGGGAUGACGGCCUUCGGGUUGUAAACCGCUUUCAGCAGGGGCGAAGCUUGUGGUGACGGUACCUGCAGAAGAAGCACCGGCUAACUACGUG
rnacentral:rRNA from 1 species